CUGGCUUUGUACGUAUCAGUUCAAGCUUGAAUUUGACCUGUCAGCUUCCUCUAUACAGAAUGUUAGCCACUUUGACCUAAACCUGCUGAUUUAAUUCUUAGCUCUUGCCUACCUGCACAUGUUGGAUUAUCUUUUAGUUAGAAAAAGAAACAGGAAAUCACAUACUCAUGUAAACUAUGUAAUUGAGCACAUGCAAUGCUAUAGAGUGAGGAGAGGGAGGACAGUGGCUUUUUCUCCUCAUUUUCUGUUCCUAGACCCCACAACAGAUGAUCUCAUCAUACAGGUCUUCUACUCCUUAAGAUAGACAAGAUUGAUGAAAGACUGGAAAUGACUUUGCCUGGACCAUGAUUCAGCGACACUGUCCCUGUGGCAAGACUAUUGGCCAGGCUCAAACGCAGUGGCUGAUCCUCACUGACUCCUCUUCCUAAGGUUGUUGUACUAGGAGCAUCUCCUAACACUACACGGACACAAUUCAAUGACAAAAAUCAGAGAAGGUCUACAGACUGUACAAGAAACAUGGAAUCAGCAUCUCUAUCUGAUGAAGGCCUUAGGAAUCUUCCACUCAUGGAGGAAGGUGAAGGGGAGGCAGGAAAACAAAACAAAACUUCUGGAAUGCCUCUUCAUCUGUACUAACAGUAACAUCUGAAGCCUCUUCCACCUGAAUGAUGAAGAUGUCAAAUAUUCUCAGCCUCAAAUUAAUGUGUCAAGUACAUUGGAUUUGUAUCUUUGUGUUCUUUCCUAUCUUCUUAAAAAAUUGUGCUAAUUACAUUUUCAAAAAUUGUUGUUUUUCUAACAUAUUGGUUACAAUAUCAAUAUAUGUGGCUUAAUAAAAUAGUCUCUGAGAACAUGUGCUUUUCUGAAUGUGUCAGGUGGCAGCUUGCUUUUAACAAUAUUGUAAGUUUUUAUAAUCAGAUUUAAAUUGUGUUUAUCUAAAAUAUUUAUGAACAUUGAAUUUAUGGUGAACA
rnacentral:lncRNA from 1 species